rnacentral:lncRNA from 1 species
CUCGGCCUCCCAAAGUGCUGGGAUUACAGGUGUGAGCCACCGCGACCAGCCUUCUUCAUUCUUUUCACGGUUAUAUUUGACUCCAUCAUGUGUUAUUCAAUCCAUUUCCUAUGCUUGAAUGUCCAAGCAACUUCCAAUAUUUUGCAACUAUAAAUAACGCUGACAAGUAAUCAUGUGCACCUGUAAUUCGUAUCACUGGAGGUGACUCUUUUUUUUCCUUCUUGAGAUGGAGUUUCGCUGUUGUUGCCCAGGCUGGAGUGCAAUGGCGUGAUCUCGGCUCACCGCAGCCUCCGCCUCCUGGGUUCAGGACCUCAGCAUCCCGAGUAGCUGGGAUUACAGGCAUGCGACACCACGCCUGGCUAAUUUUGUAUUUUUAGUAGAGAUGGGGUUUCUCCAUGUUGGUCAGGCUGGUCUUGAACUGCCGACCUCGUGUUGGCCUCCCAAAGUGCUGGGAUUACAGGCAUGAGCCACAGCUCCCGGCCCAGUUUCCCUUUGUUGCCCAGGCUGGAAUGUAGUGACAUGAUCUCAGCUCACUGCAACCUCUGCCUCCCAGGUUCAAGCAAUUCUCAUACCUCAGCCUCCUGAGUAGCUGGGAAUACAGGCAACUGCCACCACACCUGGCUCAUUUUUUGUAUUUUAGUUGAGACAGGGUUUCACUAUGUUGCCCAAGCUGGUCUCGAACUCCUGAGCUCAGGCAAUCCGCCCAUCUGGGCCUGCCAAAGUGCUAGGAUUACAGACGUGGGCCACUGCAUGCGGCCUGGAGGUGACUCUUAAGGGAUAAAUUCUUAUUUAUCCCUGCGCUUGCUUGCUGUGUCAACAGGUAUGUGUAUAUAUAAUUUAAUUAAAUACUGCCAACUUCCCUCUAUAGGACUUAAAACAUUUUGCAUUCCCACCAACAAUGUAUGAAAGUGCCUGUUUCUCCACAGUCUUAUCCGUAGAGAGUACGGUUAAGCUUUUAAGUUUUUGACAAUCUGAUGGGUGAGAAAUGGUAUCUCAGUGUAGUUGUAAUUUACGUUUCUCUUACCAUGAGUGAAGUUGAACAUCUUUUCAUAUGUUUAUACAUCUUUUGGUAAAGAGUCUGUGCAUGACUUUUGCCCACUUUUCUAUAGGAUUUCUAAUCUUUUCCCCUCAAUUUUUAAAACGUUUACAAAGUAAGGAUUAACCCUUUUUUUUUCUUUUUCUUUUGGAGAUGGAGUUUCACUCUUGUUGCCCAGGCUGGAGUGCAAUGGCGCAACCUGAGCUCACUGCAACCU